rnacentral:rRNA from 1 species
UGGGGAAUAUUGCACAAUGGAGGGAACUCUGAUGCAGCGACGCCGCGUGAACGAAGAAGGCUUUCGAGUCGUAAAGUUCUUUUAUAUGGGAAGAUAAUGACGGUACCAUAAGAAAAAGCCCCGGCUAACUACGUGCCAGCAGCCGCGGUAAUACGUAGGGGGCUAGCGUUGUCCGGAAUCACUGGGCGUAAAGGGUUCGCAGGCGGAAAUGCAAGUCAGGUGUAAAAGGCAGUAGCUUAACUACUGUAAGCAUUUGAAACUGCAUAUCUUGAGAAGAGUAGAGGUAAGUGGAAUUUUUAGUGUAGCGGUUAAAUGCGUAGAUAUUAAAAAGAAUACCGGUGGCGAAGGCAACUUACUGGGCUCAUUCUGACGCUGAGGAACGAAAGCGUGGGUAGCAAACAGG